UAAAGCCAGGGGCUUUAGAGGCUGCUAUUUCGAUGGGCUCUUUUGUUCGUGGGUUAAGACCUGUACGUGCUGCACGUUCUCUAACCUCAAAGGUUCCAAAACCUACUAAUGACACCUUGUCUCCAUUUUUCAAGGUAUCUACCACU
rnacentral:misc_RNA from 1 species